AUUGCAACUCUUCCCCCUUUGGCAGUUCUAUCUUGACGGAAAAUGUUGUAGUUGUAUAUGGAAAUCUUUGAAUUUUUGGUGGCCUUCCUAAGCCAGGAUUCAGACACGGCAAGGACAUCAGGGUUGGCGGAGUGUGCUAAAGCAAUCUGCCAACCAGGCUCUGUGGGUGACUGGUAACCGUAUUUCCACCAAGCUGUUCCUGGCCUGGAGUGGCACGCUGGGACUUCCAUAGGCUUGUAGACCUGAAGCAGUGUGAUGUGGUCCAGAUCGGUCACCCCUAUUAGCUCAACCACAGCCCUCACAGCUGCAGUCGUCUGCCCCUGUACCUGCUACACUGGCUGCGACAGG